UCCGGAUAGGGCCAUGCAGUUCACUAUCGCAUCAUCGCACCAUCGAGGUUUGGGUCGAUAGUGCGAUGACGCGAUAAUGCGAUGACGAUGAAGCGAUGGUGCGAUAACGUUGAAGCGAUGGUGCGAUAGCGCGAUGGCGAUGAUGCGAUGGCACGACAAUGCAAUGACGAUGAUACGAUGAAGCGAUAGCGCGAUGACGCGAUGGCACGAUAGCGAUGAUGCGAUGGUGCGAUAGCGAUGAUGCGAUGGCGCGAUAGUGAUGACGCAAUGCUAUAUCGUGUCAUCGUUAUUGCUUUAUCGCACUAUCGUCAUCGUGUCAUCGCACCAUCGCUCUAUCGACUAGUACUUUCUAUAACCGGAUAACAUUCCCAGCAGUCAUUGCACAACAUGGCGUUUGUUGACGAAAAGAUAAUAAAGAAAUCAUAUUCCUUCUUUGGAGUAAUUAUGGUGUGAAAAUAAGCUGUAGACAUUUGAAAAGGCGCAUGACCAGACUUAAUUUGAGAAGACGGAGAUCAUACAAUGUGGAUAUGGCAAUAAGGGCUAUUCAGGAAGAAAUGAUGUUCAGUGGACAGAUUCUUGGGUGUCGUUCGAUGAAACGAAGACUUCUUCAGAAACAUGGCAUCUUUAUAGGA